UGGGGAAUUUUGGACAAUGGGCGAAAGCCUGAUCCAGCAAUGCCGCGUGUGUGAAGAAGGCCUUCGGGUUGUAAAGCACUUUUGUCCGGAAAGAAAUCCUUGGCUCUAAUACAGUCGGGGGAUGACGGUACCGGAAGAAUAAGCACCGGCUAACUACGUGCCAGCAGCCGCGGUAAUACGUAGGGUGCAAGCGUUAAUCGGAAUUACUGGGCGUAAAGCGUGCGCAGGCGGUUUGCUAAGACCGAUGUGAAAUCCCCGGGCUCAACCUGGGAACUGCAUUGGUGACUGGCAGGCUAGAGUAUGGCAGAGGGGGGUAGAAUUCCACGUAUAGCAGUGAAAUGCGUAGAGAUGUGGAGGAAUACCGAUGGCGAAGGCAGCCCCCUGGGCCAAUACUGACGCUCAUGCACGAAAGCGUGGGGAGCAAACAGGAUUAGAUACCCUGGUUGUCCACGCCCUAAACGAUGUCAACUAGUUGUUGGGGAUUCAUUUCCUUAGUAACGUAGCUAACGCGUGAAGUUGACCGCCUGGGGAGUACGGUCGCAAGAUUAAAACUCAAAUGAAUUGACGGGG
rnacentral:rRNA from 1 species